AAGUACAAAGUUUUACAUCUUAAUAGAACAGAUGCUCGGCUUGCCAAUAAUCAUCAACCUCUGGAGAUUCAGAAGUUGCGCUGUCGUGUAAAUUUUAGUGCUCUGAGAUUUACUUCUCAGAUAGAGGAGUUGGGUAAAAGAGUUAUAAAUCUUCUUAGGCAAAAUGGUCCAUUUUUAGUACUUCACCUCAGAUAUGAGAUGGACAUGCUGGCCUUUUCUGGUUGUACUCAAGGUUGCAACAAUGAGGAGGUAGAAGAAUUGACAAGAAUGAGAUAUGCUUAUCCUUGGUGGAAAGAGAAAAUAAUAAAUUCUGACUUGAAAAGGAAAGAUGGG
rnacentral:misc_RNA from 1 species